UAAAAUCUGAAAACUUGUUAAUAAUUAGAACCAAAUUGAGUUUUCAGAAAUGCACUUAAUGAAGAAAAAUUGGUGACUACUAAAAGAUUCAAUCAAGAAAAGAUGAAUUAGAUCUUGAUGAAAUUCUUGCAUGAUUAGAAGUAAAGAUCACCAUUAUCAUUUGCUUGCUUCAUGAACUUUAUAUUCUGUCAAAUGAAUGUGUAGAAAACACUCAUUACAAAUAUGAUAGAGCAAUAUGUGAU
rnacentral:lncRNA from 1 species